UAUAAAAUAUUAUGAAAUAUACAAUUUUUUUAUUACGUGUGGCACAUAAAUGUGUAAAUGGAGCUAAAGUGUUUUGAAUGCACUUUGGCCUUUAGUCUUUUUCAAAACUUUUUGUAAAGUUCGUUUAAUAGGCCUUUUUAAAUAAGCCUUCUAUCAGUCCUCUAAAAGAAGCGAGAAGCACUGGGUACCAAUAACAAGCCGUGUUAAACAAUGACUUCGGAAGGGCUCUUCUUCCUGCUGGGAUCAUUCACGUCUUUACUCUAUAAUGGAUCUAAGUAAUAUGUUUAUUAUGGUGUUUGUAAUUAUCCAAAACGGAAGCCUUGUCACUACGUGGUAGCGAAAAGUGUUCUACUAUCUAAAACCAGUUUUUGGGAUUAUUUUGAUUCAUAAAAAUUCUAAAACCGUUCACAAACAAACUAACAUGAACAUUUAAUAGUAUUAUUGACAUGAUUGGGUACUAAAAUUGUCAUUCAACUUAUAAAU